rnacentral:rRNA from 1 species
UACGUAGGGCGCGAGCGUUGUCCGGAAUUAUUGGGCGUAAAGAGCUCGUAGGCGGCCUGUUGCGUCCGCUGUGAAAUCCCGGGGCUCAACCCCUGGGCGUGCAGUGGAUACGGGCUGGCUAGAGGCAGGCAGGGGAGAACGGAAUUCCUGGUGUAGCGGUGGAAUGCGCAGAUAUCAGGAGGAACACCAAUGGCGAAGGCAGAUCUCUGGGCCGUAACUGACGCUGAGGAGCGAAAGCAUGGGGAGCGAACAGG